CUGCUUCCCCUCCCCACUUAGUUCUAGUCCCGGUCAGGGCGCUGGAUUCUGUCCCGCGGCUGCGGCGGUUGUUGGAGAGUGAACCACCCGCAAAGGAAGACCUUUCUCUCUGUCUCUCUCUCUCACUGUCCACUCUGCCUGUCAUAAAAAAAAAAAAAAGAAAAAAAACAAAAAAAAAGGGCAGCGACUGAGGGGGUACAAGGAGAAUUUCAACCUUGACUUUUCAUUUUAGGAAGCAAUCAAUGGAGCUCAUCUCUUUGACAGCAACAAAACCAGCGAGAGAGCUGACGUGGCACCUUUGCAAGGCUGGAAAAUGAGGGCUGUGGUGCCAGCAAGACACGGGACCCCACUGGGGCUGUGCCACUCGUUAGCUGUCGGACCCCACGCAGGUGACAGAGCGUCUCAAUGUCUCUGCUCUUCCUGUUUCCAGGAGCCUGCAAGAGGACUGUGCGAGUGCGGGACUGAGAGCAGUGCCUGGCUGGAGACGGAAUCCACAGAACGCCGCGACCAGCUGGAUGGUGUGAGAGGGUUCGGCCUGAAGUCCUUGUCUGCGAUGGUCCCACUGUCCAUUCAUUCACCCGAACCAGAAGACUGGGACACACCCUCAGCUUCCCGCUCUGCCCCAAUGUCACACCCGAAUCCAUCAACCUGUCUUCCUCUCCUAACAUCCUGGUCUCGUCCUCAUCUUCACCGUAAGUUCCCGCUCCCACCAAAGAUCACCCUGGCCACUACAGUAGCCUCUUGCCGGGCCUCCCCUCCAGAGUCUUUCUCCUCUGCAGGCUACAACUUGCCCCAAACACCACGGGCCCUCCCCACUUCUCUGCCAACUCCCCAUCACCCCGGACACAGCCCCAUCUUCUUGGAUCGAAAAAUGUUCAUUACCUGGACUAACUGCACCUGA
rnacentral:lncRNA from 1 species